AUUGAACGCUGGCGGCAGGCCUAACACAUGCAAGUCGAGCGGGGUUUUCGGACCUAGCGGCGGACGGGUGAGUAAUGCGUAGGAAGCUACCCGAUAGAGGGGGAUACCAGUUGGAAACGACUGUUAAUACCGCAUAAUGUCUACGGACCAAAGUGUGGGACCUUCGGGCCACAUGCUAUCGGAUGCGCCUACGUGGGAUUAGCUAGUUGGUGGGGUAAUGGCUCACCAAGGCGACGAUCCUUCGCUGGUUUGAGAGGAUGAUCAGCCAAACUGGAACUGAGACACGGUCCAGACUCCUACGGGAGGCAGCAGUGGGGAAUAUUUGACAAUGGGCGCAAGCCUGAUCCAGCCAUGCCGCGUGUGUGAAGAAGGCCUUCGGGUUGUAAAGCACUUUCAGUAGGGAGGAAGGGUGUUGUGUUAAUAGCACAGCAUUUUGACGUUACCUACAGAAGAAGCACCGGCUAACUCUGUGCUAGCCGCCGCCGUAACAC
rnacentral:rRNA from 1 species